rnacentral:rRNA from 1 species
GACGAACGCUGGCGGCGUGCCUAAUACAUGCAAGUAGAACGCUGAAGGAGGAGCUUGCUUCUCUGGAUGAGUUGCGAACGGGUGCGUAACGCGUAGGUAACCUGCCUGGUAGCGGGGGAUAACUAUUGGAAACGAUAGCUAAUACCGCAUAAGAGUAGAUGUUGCAUGACAUUUGCUUAAAAGGUGCAAUUGCAUCACUACCAGAUGGACCUGCGUUGUAUUAGCUAGUUGGUGGGGUAACGGCUCACCAAGGCGACGAUCCAUAGCCGGCCUGAGAGGGUGAUCGGCCACACUGGAACUGAGACACGGCCCAGACUCCUACGGGAGGCAGCAGUAGGGAAUCUUCGGCAAUGGACGGAAGUCUGACCCAGCAACGCCGCGUGAGUGAAGAAGGUUUUCGGGUCGUAAAGCUCUGUUGUAAGAGAAGAACGGGUGUGGGAGUGGAAAGUGCACACUGUAACGGUAUCUUACAAGAAAGGGACGGCUAACUACGC